rnacentral:misc_RNA from 1 species
UUGGAUUUUAUACUUUGCAUGUAGGUAGAGGGAUGAUGAAGAGAACUAAGAUAGGAGAAGACCAACAACUUCUCUGUGUAUUAGCCUCUUGAUCUUUCUUCGAAUCAAAAAAAAACUACCUACCUACAUGUGUUUCAUUUUUAUGAAACCCCAACCUUUUUGUCUUAGAUUACUAAGUCAAAAAUAAAAUUUAAACUAAGAAAAUUUUCAACGAUGGAUAUCUUGGUUCCCAUAACGAUGAAGAGCGCAGCAAAGUGCGAUAAGCAAUGCGAAUUGCAGAAUUCCGCGAAUCAUCAGAUCCUUGAACGCAACUGGCGCUAGGGGGCUCUCCCCCUAGCAUGUCUGUUUCAGUGUCUGAAAACAUCAUAAUAAACUUAAUGUGAUUGACAAAGGAGAGUGAAGGUGAUAGUAUAGU